CCUAUCUGCGGCUGUCCAAGUUCCGGCCUCGCCGGAUUGAAAGGGAAUACGGACGGCCCCCGGGCCGAAACCGUAGCUGCCCCCGCAACUGUGCGCGGAGAGCGGCGCCGAACUGAGCCACUGGGGCCGCAGCCCCGGGAAGGCCGGCGCCCGCCUUGACCCGCAAGCCAGGAGACCUGCUUGGACAUCACCCUUUCG
rnacentral:ncRNA from 1 species